UACGUAGGGUGCAAGCGUUAAUCGAAUUACUGGGCGUAAAGCGUGCGCAGGCGGUUAUGUAAGACAGAUGUGAAAUGCCCGGGCUUAACCUGGGAACUGCAUUUGUGACUGCAUGGCUAGAGUUUGGCAGAGGGGGGUAGAAUUCCACGUGUAGCAGUGAAAUGCGUAGAGAUGUGGAGGAACACCGAUGGCGAAGGCAGCCCCCUGGGUCAAGAUUGACGCUCAUGCACGAAAGGCGUGGGGAGCAAA
rnacentral:rRNA from 1 species